UGGGGAAUCUUCCGCAAUGGACGAAAGUCUGACGGAGCAACGCCGCGUGAGUGAAGAAGGUUUUCGGAUCGUAAAGCUCUGUUUUCAGGGACGAACGGCAGAAAUAUGAAUAAUAUAUCUGCAUGACGGUACCUGAGGAGGAAGCCACGGCUAACUACGUGCCAGCAGCCGCGGUAAUACGUAGGUGGCAAGCGUUGUCCGGAAUUAUUGGGCGUAAAGGGCGUGUAGGCGGGAUAAUAAGUCUGUUGUAAAAGUGCGGGGCUCAACCCCGUAAGGUCAAUGGAAACUGUUAUUCUUGAGUGCAGGAGAGGAAAGUGGAAUUCCCAGUGUAGCGGUGAAAUGCGUAGAUAUUGGGAGGAACACCAGUGGCGAAGGCGACUUUCCGGACUGUGUCUGACGCUGAGGCGCGAAAGCCAGGGGAGCGAACG
rnacentral:rRNA from 1 species